rnacentral:tRNA from 1 species
GUAUGGCCGAGCGGUUAGGACUGCGCGCUUGGUAUCCCAAAGCUGGCGGGUUCAAGUCCCGGUGC